ensembl:lncRNA
CUCUUAUAGAGCAAUAACAGUCCCAUAGAGAGACAAGGAGAAGGAGGAAGAGGGUUGUGAGAGAGGAAGAAGCUUCACACAUCAAUUAAGAGCCUGACAGACCCUAAAGAGUUGCGAUGAAGAGCAGAACCUCACUUUUUAUAAAGUUGAAAAGCAAAGUAAAUGUAAGAAAAGUAAAGAAGAAAAGAAUUGCAAGGUAUGAACUCGGAAUUGUGAGAUAUGAACUCGGAAUUGUGAGAUAUGAACUCGGAAUUGUGAGAUACUAAUGCAGGAUUCUGGAAUAUGAAUUCAGAAUUGCCGCAAAUUAUCUUGGAAUUGCGAAAUACUAACUCGCUACAAAAAUCGCUUAGUGCUCUAUUAAACUACUUUAAUAUGGAAAACCCCUUUUGAGUUCUUCGGUCUGUAUCUUAAGCUAAUGGACAGUUUACUUGUAGUAUCAAUUACAAUUAAAUGUGCAACAUCUUUGCUUUUACUCCAGUGUGUUUUUAUCGAGAUACUGGAGGGAUGUUUUCCAUACUCAUAUUGUGAAGUGUAUUUUCUGUGAACGUUUGACUCCCAGCAAACACACAUCUGAGUUUGUUUACACCUGAGCCGAGACUCUGAACACACACACACACAGCAAGAUUUUCACACUUGAGAAACUAUUCUCACCUCACAAACGCAGACACACACACACACUCCAAACACUCAAACACACGUGUGUGAUGCAGCUGGAGGACAGAACUGAUAAAUUGCGCUGCUUCUCUAAAGAUGUAUUGUCUUCAAAGCUGGGUAGUAACUGAUUACAUGUUAUCUGGAUUAUGUAAUCAGAUUCCAAAGAAUGCAUACUUGUAAUUAGAUUACAUUACAUUUUAAAAUGCUCACAAUCAGAUUACAGUUUCUUUUUAUGGAUUACAUGAUUACUUUUCACACAACCCAGGUGUGCAUUUCCAUAAUGUACAAAAAGUGCUUUAUUUGCACACCCUAAUUUUGUACUUAAUAUACUAAAAAUUAUUCUUCAGUACUUCUUGUAGUACACUCAAGUGUCUUGUCAGACAAAUCUCAGACAGACUUGGAGGCUUUUCAUCUAAAGUCUUCAUAGUGAUGGAUAGUUCUAGUAAUGGAUGAGUAUUUAGAGGUUCUCUCAGUCAUUAAUCAAUGAUGAUCUUCUCUUAAACACGCAACCGUCAUGAGACUCACGCUCGAGUCGUUCUCAGCCUUAGAGUAGAGUAUGCACAACACCAUAUAUGUAUUUCUUUAUUUCUGUGAUUGUUGCUGUUGAAGUUA